rnacentral:lncRNA from 1 species
AGAUGGAGAUGGAGAUGGAGUUGAUAGGGGAACAGAAAAGGAUGAGAAAGAGCGUCUUCUGGAGUCAUUGAUGGCGGAAGGUGGAGAUGCAAGUGAUGUGUGUGCUGCGGUUAGGGUUAAUCUUGAAGGGGAAAACAUGAGUGAGGCGGACAUUCCGGUGAAUCUCUCAUAGUAUCGGAUAGUCAAUGGAAAGAGGAAUUUUUUCCAAAAGAGACUGUCCCAGAUCGAGAAAUCGAGAAGGAGAAGAUCUCUUACGCGGAGAUUGUGAACGAUGGAUUCUCUCCUAAACCCAACCCGGAGUUUAAGGUAGUUGAUGGUGUAGAUGA